rnacentral:rRNA from 1 species
UACGUAGGGUGCAAGCGUUAAUCGGAAUUACUGGGCGUAAAGCGUGCGCAGGCGGUUUUGUAAGCCAGAUGUGAAAGCCCCGGGCUCAACCUGGGAAUGGCAUUUGGGACUGCAAGGCUGGAGUAUGGCAGAGGAGACUAGAAUUCCUGGUGUAGCAGUGAAAUGCGUAGAUAUCAGGAGGAAUACCGAUGGCGAAGGCAGGUCUCUGGGCCAAUACUGACGCUCAUGCACGAAAGCGUGGGGAGCAAACAGG